rnacentral:rRNA from 1 species
GACAGAGGGUGCAAACGUUGUUCGGAAUUACUGGGCGUAAAGCGCGUGUAGGCGGCGGCGUGUGUCGGGCGUGAAAUCCCAUGGCUCAACCAUGGAAGUGCACCCGAAACUGCGCAGCUAGAGUCCUGGAGAGGAAGGUGGAAUGCUUGGUGUAGAGGUGAGAUUCGUAGAUAUCAAGCGGAACACCGGUGGCGAAGGCGGCCUUCUGGACAGUGACUGACGCUGAGACGCGAAAGCGUGGGGAUCAAACAGG